AACGAACGCUGGCGGCAUGCCUAACACAUGCCAGUCGAACGAGACCUUCGGGUCUAGUGGCGCACGGGUGCGUAACGCGUGGGAACCUGCCCUUAGGUUCGGAAUAACUCCCCGAAAGGGGUGCUAAUACCGGAUAAUGUCUUCGGACCAAAGAUUUAUCGCCUUUGGAUGGGCCCGCGUUGGAUUAGCUAGUUGGUAGGGUAAAAGCCUACCAAAGCGACGAUCCAUAGCUGGUCUGAGAGGAUGAUCAGCCACACUGGGACUGAGGCACGGCCCAGACUCCUACGGGAGGCAGCAGUGGGGAAUAUUGGACAAUGGGCGAAAGCCUGAUCCAGCAAUGCCGCGUGAGUGAUGAAGGCCUUAGGGUUGUAAAGCUCUUUUACCCGGGAUGAUAAUGACAGUACCGGGAGAAUAAGCUCCGGCUAACUCCGUG
rnacentral:rRNA from 1 species